rnacentral:rRNA from 1 species
UGGUGCCUGCAAGACGAAUUCUAAGUUCCACCCUUAACCUUCUUUUCUUCCCCCCAGACAAACCUAACUCAAAUGUGAUAGUUAAGGGCUAUUUAAAGGGGGUACAGCCCCUUUAAAAAAGGAUACAACCUCUAUCAGCGGAUAACCCUCGUACACCCAACUCCGUGGGCCUUAAAGCAGCCACCCCCAAAGAUUGCGUCAAAGCUCCAUCAACUAAAAACCCUCAAAACCAAUACGACUCCCUACACUCACAGCAGGCCAACCUAUAACAAUAGAUGAACUAAUGCUAGAACGAGUAACCAGGACACCACGUCCCCCCAAGCGCCAGCCUACCACACCAUUAACAGUAAAGCCUCAAUAAUAACCACACCCCCACCAUUGAACACACCCUGUCAAUCCAACUCAGGGGCGCACACUGGAGUGAUCAUAGUCUACAAAAGGAACUCGGCAAACCUAAGACCCGACUGUUUACCAAAAACAUAGCCUUCAGCCAAACAAGUAUUGAAGGUGAUGCCUGCCCAGUGACACUACGUUUAACGGCCGCGGUAUCCUAACCGUGCAAAGGUAGCGCAAUCAAUUGUCCCAUAAAUCGAGACCUGUAUGAAUGGCUAAACGAGGUCUUAACUGUCUCCUGUAGAUGAUCGGUGAAACUGAUCUCUCUGUACAAAAGCAGAGAUAAACACAUAAGACGAGAAGACCCUGUGGAACUUCAAAAUCAAUAGCCACCCCACCCAACUUACCAACCCACCCGGGCCCACCAUCUAAAACACUGGCUAACAUUUUA